rnacentral:pre_miRNA from 12 species
UGGAAUUCCGGCCCGGCCUGCCCAGUGUUCAGACUACCUGUUCAGGAUGCUUCCCGGUUGUACAGUAGUCUGCACAUUGGUUAGAUCGGACCCGGCCUUGCG